UCUUUAUAAUAAAUUUAUUUUAAUAAAUUAUUUUAUAUAAAUUAAUAGUUUUAAUAUUAAAUUAUUUUAUUGGGGUGAUACAAAAAUUUAAUUAACUUUUUUAUUAGUAUUUCUUAAAUAAAAGAUUUAUAAAAAUAUGAUCUAUUAUUAAUAAUUCAGAGAAUAAGA
rnacentral:rRNA from 1 species